rnacentral:rRNA from 1 species
UGAGGAAUAUUGGUCAAUGGGCGAGAGCCUGAACCAGCCAAGUCGCGUGAGGGAAGACGGUCCUAUGGAUUGUAAACCUCUUUUGCCGGGGAGCAAAGAGCGGUACGUGUACCGCGCCGAGAGUACCCGGAGAAAAAGCAUCGGCUAACUCCGUGCCAGCAG